rnacentral:rRNA from 1 species
UACGAAGGGGGCUAGCGUUGCUCGGAUUGACUGGGCGUAAAGCGCACGUAGGCGGCUUUGUAAGUUAGAGGUGAAAGCCCAGGGCUUAACCCUGGAAUUGCCUUUAAGACUGCAUCGCUAGAAUUGUGGAGAGGUAAGUGGAAUUCCGAGUGUAGAGGUGAAAUUCGUAGAUAUUCGGAAGAACACCAGUGGCGAAGGCGACUGACUGGACAAGUAUUGACGCUGAGGUGCGAAAGCGUGGGGAGCAAACAGG